rnacentral:lncRNA from 1 species
CCGGUGAGUCUCAGGCGCAGGCGGUUUGGGAACCGGUGAGUCUCAGGCGCAGGCGGUUUGGGAACUGGUGAGUCUCAGGCUCAGGCAGUUUGGGAACUCUUGGUUCCACGUGAAUCCACUCAUCCGCUCUGUGCCUCUCACCUGUCAAACAAGUUCCUCAUCAGACACAAGCAGCCCAGACGACUUUUCCAUCCUGGGAAGAAGCGGGUGAGCCUCCAGGAUCCUGCCCAAGAUAGGACCCUAGUGCGGAGGCCAGUUGAAGAGGAGCCCUGAGGGAGGGCCUCUGACUUUGAUCCAGGUGCCCGGAACAGACCGAAAUUACCGGACAGUAGCAACCGCAGAGAUGCUCAGAUGCAGGGAUGUCGGCCAGUGAGGCUCGCCCAGGUGGCCACUCAUGAUUUUCCCACUUCACAAUCAUUGCAUCUAAGAGCACUUCAUGGAAACACUGAAGCCAGGGUGAUUACUGUCAGUGUGGUUCCUUGACUUGCCCUCCGCUGUCCACUGCCCUCAGGCCCAUGUGACAACCGCAACUGCCGGCGCCCGGGCACACAGCCGACUUAGCGCCGUCCGGAAGCAGAGCACGUGCUUCGUAAAAAAUGAAAUGACUCUC